rnacentral:misc_RNA from 1 species
UUUUAACUUUCUAUGCUUUCCAUCUUCUAAUCUUCAUCUUAAAGUGUCAUGCUUUAACCUUAGAAUACCCAGCCCUUAAGAUGGGACGUUUAUCGACAAACCAGCCUUGUUAUUUCAUAUUUUAGAAUUGUGUACCAAUAUCACAAAGCAUGCAGCUUAAAAACCUAUGCUAUGCUUUGUCUCAUAUCGGUGUUUUUCUACGCUGCUGUUUCCAUAUAUGGAGCUGUGAAAUGAAUCUUUGGAUGAUUCGGGUCCCUUGUGAAAAAUGCUCUAGAAUUGUCUUUUUCCCCUCACUUUUCCCAUCUUGGUUUUGAUGCUUAUAUGUGCAUGUACAUACCAUAUUUAGUUUGAAAUGAUUCACUCAAUUAUUAAUAAAACAUUUUCUAAAUUUUUAAGUAUAAACCCUAAUCAAGUCCAAUGAUUAGAUUUUAAUUGGUUUGAAGUUUUAACCAUUACAUAAGAAAAAAAUUCUAAUAGAAUGGAAAUGCCUUUUCCCCCCAUUUUCUUUC